rnacentral:rRNA from 1 species
CGAGGGGCAGCGGAUCCCUCCGGGGAUGCCGGCGACCGGCGAACGGGUGAGUAACACGUAUGGAACCUACCCUUAACUGGGGAAUAGCCUUGAGAAAUCGAGGGUAAUACCCCAUAUCAUCUGAAAGAGGCAUCUCUUUCAGAUGAAAGCUCCGGCGGUUAAGGAUGGCCAUGCGGUCCAUUAGCUUGUUGGUGAGAUAACCGCUCACCAAGGCUACGAUGGAUAGCUGAUCUGAGAGGAUGAUCAGCCACAUUGGCACUGAGACACGGGCCAAACUCCUACGGGAGGCAGCAGUAGGGAAUCUUGGUCAAUUGGCGAAAGCCAGAACCAGUCAUGCCGCGUGCAGGAUGAAGGCCCUACGGGUCGUAAACUGCUUUUAUUCGGGAAGAAAAAGUCUGUUUCCACAGAUCUUGACGGUACCGAUUGAAUAAGGACCGGCCAACUCCGUGCCAGCAGCCGCGGUAAUACGGAGGGUCCAAGCGUUAUCCGGAUUCACUGGGUUUAAAGGGUGCGCAGGCGGCCAAGUAAGUCAGUGGUGAAAGCCUUCGGCUCAACCGGAGAAUUGCCAUUGAAACUACUUGGCUUGAGUGCAGCAGAGGUAGGCGGAAUGUAGCAUGUAGCGGUGAAAUGCAUAGAUAUGCUACAGAACACCGAUAGCGAAAGCAGCUUACCACACUGUAACUGACGCUGAGGCACGAAAGCAUGGGUAGCAAACAGG